AUUGAACGCUGGCGGCAUGCUUUACACAUGCAAGUCGAACGGCAGCACGGGGGCAACCCUGGUGGCGAGUGGCGAACGGGUGAGUAACACAUCGGAACGUGUCCUGAGGUGGGGGAUAACCUGGCGAAAGCCAGGCUAAUACCGCAUACGCUCGAGAGAGGAAAGCAGGGGACCGCAAGGCCUUGCGCAGCAGGAGCGGCCGAUGUCCGAUUAGCUAGUAGGUAGGGUAAAGGCCUACCUAGGCGACGAUCGGUAGCUGGUCUGAGAGGAUGAUCAGCCACACUGGGACUGAGACACGGCCCAGACUCCUACGGGAGGCUG
rnacentral:rRNA from 1 species